UGGGGAAUAUUGGACAAUGGGCGAAAGCCUGAUCCAGCCAUGCCGCGUGUGUGAAGAAGGUCUUCGGAUUGUAAAGCACUUUAAGUUGGGAGGAAGGGCAGUUACCUAAUACGUGAUUGUUUUGACGUUACCGACAGAAUAAGCACCGGCUAACUCUGUGCCAGCAGCCGCGGUAAUACAGAGGGUGCAAGCGUUAAUCGGAAUUACUGGGCGUAAAGCGCGCGUAGGUGGUUAGUUAAGUUGGAUGUGAAAUCCCCGGGCUCAACCUGGGAACUGCAUUCAAAACUGACUGACUAGAGUAUGGUAGAGGGUGGUGGAAUUUCCUGUGUAGCGGUGAAAUGCGUAGAUAUAGGAAGGAACACCAGUGGCGAAGGCGACCACCUGGACUGAUACUGACACUGAGGUGCGAAAGCGUGGGGAGCAAACA
rnacentral:rRNA from 3 species